CGGCAACUUAGCAAGGCCCAAACAACUUAGCAAGAUCCUGAUUCACAUUAAAAGCUAAAAGGGGCUGGGGAUGUGGCUCAGUGGUUAAGUAUUCCUGUGUUCAAUCCCCAGGUAUAUAUAAAAAAUUUUAACUUCAACUCUUGACCCCAGUGGAGACAAUUCAUACUAAAAAAUGAAAAUCGAAAUGACCAGUGAGAUUUGAGCAAGGAAAUACAUUCUUCUAAUGAAACAAAAUACAAAAUGUCUAUUUUAUCACAUUCUCUGUGGGUAGGAGAUACAGGGAUGGACAAGAUGAAUGUUUUGUCUACCCUCCAAGAUCAUGCACUGUUAUAAGAAGUGCACGUUUAAAAAUAAUACGAAUAAAUCACUUAAGUGUAUGGUUGGAGAUAACGAGGCCAGGAGACGGGAACAAGGUUUGGGUGGACUGGUUUUAGAAAACAUUCUUAGGAAAAGCUGCUCGGAUGAUUUAUUUGAGCUGAGAAGGAAGGAGAAGGAAAAAAAGUGAGCCAUGUAAUGUCUGGGGCGAAGGAAAGUUUUAGAAAUUCAGAACAGUGUGUGAAAGAAAUGGGGAUGUUUAUGGAACUGCAAGGAGACCAUGUUUCCUGAAUACAUGUGUAAGAGACCACGCUGCGUCACGUGUCUGCACGCAGGGUGUGUGCUCUAUGAGUUGGGUUGGGAGUUGGGGUGGGGCAGGGGUGCUCAAGGACCUUGGAUACCAUGUUGACGUGGUUCAAAAACUUGAGCUUACGUCAAAGUCACUUGGAGAGUGUUACGGUUUGAGGUGUCCCCCAAAAGCUCAUGGGUGGGACAAGGCAAGAAGGUUUAGAGGAGAAAUGAUUGGGCCAGACUUGGCUGGCCUCCUGCAUUGGGCCAUUUCCUUCUCCAGGAUUCAUUAUCCCAAUCCCCAAAUGCUACAUGGUCAUUUCUGCCAUGUUAAUAAAGGACCAGUGAGCAUUGGGCUGUGUCAGGUAUCACAGGGAGCAUCAUGUGUACUAACUCUUGGUCUUGCUAGAAGAUUCUUUGAUGUCCCCUGACAUUCUUGCUAAUAGUUCCAUUUUGCACAAACAGCUUUUACAAUUUCAGGUUGCUCAACAACUUUAGGUCCUUCCCUGGGCUAUCACAUCUCUUCAUAGCGGAGCUACAAGGAAAGAGGAGAGGGGCGUUAGAUCCACGCUGGGGAACAGGGAGCCUAUGAUGAGCCAAGUUAGUUCUCCCUGUUAUGUACUAUUACAAAAGGAUUUCAGAUGAAUGGAUAUUUUAGGUAGAUUUUGAACUUGAAGAGAUCAUUGGUUGAAGUGUUUGUGAAGGUAUCAAGCCUUCUUAAUAUAAGAUUUUAAAAAUACAUAUUCAGAGGAUAGAAAUAGACCUAAGUAUUAUUUGGAAGCAUAUUUAAGGAAGUGAGCCAGGUGCUAUAUGGCACAUGCCUGUCAUCCCAGCGACUUGGGAGGCUGAGGCAGAAGGUUCCCAAGUUCAAAGCCAGCCUCAGUAACUUAGUGAGGCCCUAAGCAACUCAGUGAGACCCUGUCUCUAAAUAAAAAAAAUAAAAAGGGCUGGGGAUGUGGCUCAGUGGUUGAGCACACCUGGGUUCAAUCCACGGUACAAAGGAAAGAGGGGAGGAAGAGAGAGUGGAGAAGAUUGUUCUUAAAUUAUUUAUUGUAACUAGAAUGUAAUUAAAAAGCAUGCAGAGGGCCGGGACACACACCUAUAAUCCCAAUGGCUCAGGAGGCUGAGGCAGGAGGAUUGAGAGUUCAGAGCCAGCCUCAGUAAAAGUGAGGUCCUAAGCAACUCAGUGAGACCCUGUCUCUAAAUAAAAUACAAAAUAGGGCUGGGAAUAUGGCUCAGGGGUUGAGUGCCCCUGAGUUCAAUCCCCUGCCCCCCCCCCACAAAAAAAAGAAAAACAUUAAGAGGGAUCCCUCAGAGUGUCCCUUCCUGAAAGACGAGGCGGGCAAGUGAGUUUAAGGACAGCAAGACAGCCUACACUGGUAGGAAAAAAUGCACUCAUCUUUCCUCUUGUGAUGUCCAAGUGCUGUGAAUCUGAAUGUGCGCCUUCGAGGAGUCGAAAUCCCUCAAAUAGGCGUGCCCCCACUCUGGCAGCCAAGAGAGGCCACGGGACAGGAGGACUCCCCAGUCGGUCCUCUAUCUGCUUUGAGCUUCUCAGUGCAGGGAGUUAAUGAAGGCCGGCUGAAGCUCUGGGAGGACCAGGAUGGCUUGAUUGCGUAAUUGUACCCACACGAAUCUGGCCUGUGUUGUGGAGGAAUUAUCUCCUCAUUAAAAACAAAUCUUAAUAGGCCUAAUUUGAAGGCUGUUUUUGUCUGUAACUUGAUCAAGAGGGUAAUGAGUAGGAGCCAGGCUAAGCAGAGGGAAAGUCCCAAAAAUGUUGGACAGGGGAGGUGACAGACCCCCUGGGAGGGGCUUUGGUAUGCUAAUGAGCUCACUUUCAAGAAAAAAAAAAAAAACCCGUGGUGGAUGGACCUGCUUCAGUUUGGUUUCUUGACAGUGUUCUGAGGGUCUGCAGGGAACCAAAGUCUUCCUGAGAGGAUUCAGUUUCAGAGACACACAAUUGCUCUUUUUAGAGCCUCAGUCAUAAAAUGAGGAUAAUAAUGUUUAUAAUUAUUACAGCAGGGUGGUUAGAAGAUUGCAUGAGUUAGGAC
rnacentral:lncRNA from 1 species